rnacentral:rRNA from 1 species
GGCGAACGCUGGCGGCGUGCUUAACACAUGCAAGUCGAACGGAAAGGCCCUGCUUUUGUGGGGUGCUCGAGUGGCGAACGGGUGAGUAACACGUGAGUAACCUGCCCUUGACUUUGGGAUAACUUCAGGAAACUGGGGCUAAUACCGGAUAGGAGCUCCUGCUGCAUGGUGGGGGUUGGAAAGUUUCGGCGGUUGGGGAUGGACUCGCGGCUUAUCAGCUUGUUGGUGGGGUAGUGGCUUACCAAGGCUUUGACGGGUAGCCGGCCUGAGAGGGUGACCGGCCACAUUGGGACUGGGAUACGGCCCAGACUCUUCCGGGGGGCAGCAGUGGGGAAUAUUGCCCAAUGGGCGGAAGCCUGAUGCAGAAACGCCGGGGGGGGGAUGACGGCCUUCGGGUUGUAAACCGCUUUCGCCUGUGACGAAGCGUGAGUGACGGUAAUGGGUAAAGAAGCACCGGCUACUACGUG